UCUGGCAUCCGCGGUAUCCUCCACAUCAAGUGUGUGCUGGUCCAUUACCACGGUCGCCAUCAUUGCGGUGAGAAAAAAAAAAUGGCAGAUGAAGACUCUCUCUCUCUCUAGCUAUAACUUCUUCAAAACCACAGUUUGAAGACUUCCACCUCACAGGCUCAUCGUCCACGUCACCGAGGAACUGGAACCCUGACUCAGCUGAAAGUAACUCCACUCAGUCAUCUUUCUCUCCUGCAGAGCCUGAAGGCUUGCCACAUUGCCCUGACCUUCCUUCCUCAGCCUCCCAAAACUGUGUGCAGGAUGGCAAGUGUACUUCACCACUCCUGGUGCCACAAGAAUGUUAUGCUGGCCCUAUCACCCACCUUGACUGCCUGUUUAUUAACUGCUUUCCUUGCUUAUCAUUGCCUCCCAUCCCUACUGAUGUAUGGCAUCCUCAAAAGUGUCUCUAUCCACUGUAUUCCCAGGUACCCACAGUAUGCGGAGUAAAAAGUGUCUCCAUGAUAUUUAUGGAAAGAUGGAAUGCAAGAAGGGUGAGAAAAAAGAAAAGGAAGGAACAGGGAUGGAGAGCCCAGGAAGAUUGGC